rnacentral:misc_RNA from 1 species
ACGAGUUAGGGUUCUUUUCGAGCCCGACCUCCCAAUCCUGUGUCUAAAACACCUUUUUGUUGCUUCGGCGGACCCGUUGUGUGCAAACACAACCGCCGGAGGGUUGGUCUCGAACCACUCUCUGGUCAGUCGUCCGUCGAUGGCCCCAUUUCAAACUCUUGAUGAAUUAUGUCGUCUAAAUCAAAAACAAAAAUUAAAACA